UACGGGGGGGGCAAGCGUUGUUCGGAAUUACUGGGCGUAAAGGGCGCGUAGGCGGCCUUCUAAGUCGGACGUGAAAUCCCUCGGCUUAACCGAGGAACUGCGUCCGAUACUGAAAGGCUUGAAUCCGGGAGAGGGAUGUGGAAUUCCAGGUGUAGCGGUGAAAUGCGUAGAUAUCUGGAGGAACACCGGUGGCGAAGGCGGCGUUCUGGACUGCAACUGACACUGAGAGACGAAAGCCAGGGGAGCAAACGGG
rnacentral:rRNA from 1 species